UAAGACUUUAAGUUAAUACAAACUAAUAAUCUUCAAAAUUAUAAAUAAAGAAAUUCUUUAAGUCUUAG
rnacentral:tRNA from 1 species